rnacentral:lncRNA from 1 species
CUACGGAGGUGGAAGCUGUGUGUGAGCUGCGCCCCGCAGCCCGCUCUCCCGCUCCAUUCUUCCCGCAGCCCCCCCUGCUCCAACCAGGUGACUGGGGGCUCAGCGGACCCGCCCUGCCGCCCGGAAUGGAGCGGGUCCCCAUGGAGCCCAAACUCCCUGCUCCACCUCUCUUCCCGCUGCCGCCGCCAAGCCGCUCCGAGCCCGAGGGAGAUGGCAACCCCCAUCCUUGUGCACGCCGUUGGACAGACUCCGCGCCGGAGCCCCGUCUGCCCUGGGCUGCCAGAGGUCUCCACAUCCUCCUCCUCCCUACUCUACCUGAGCUUCUUCCUCAUCUGCGGGACCCUGUGCCAAGGAACCUACCCAAAUCCAGGCCUGCUCCCUGAAACAUUGGCAAGAAACUGGAAAAAGAGGCUAAUAUGGAGAGGGAAGAAGUUUGGCAAGAUCUUUGGAGAGAAAAAGGACAGAGCUGAGCAAAUCUGCCCGCCAAAAUAUCACCCCUUUUCCAUGCUCCAUUCACAACCACCAGCCCAUUUUUCCACAUGACAAUCCUCUGCAGUCCAGAAGCUUGAAAAUUACAAGCCCAAGAUUCAAGACACAUGUUUCUUGUCCAGAGUCCUGCCUGUCUAGAAACAAAGAUAAAUCAGACCUCAGAGAAUCCGUCAAGCACUAUAUCCACUGGGCCCCCUAACCAGACUAGAAGUGCCCCAGUACAUUCUGAAGGGACACCUAUCACCUAUGUCCCCUGUGUGAGGUGAGGUGAUUUUGGAUGGAGUGACAACGACCCAGUGUCAGCAACCCUUCAUCUCUGGGCGUGUCUAUGGGGUUCUGCCAAACUUACCUCCACUGCAUCUCAGACUGAAGGUUCAGGGAGCUGCAGAUGGGCUCUGCCUGUGCUCUGGCACCGUCUGGUGUCCAUGCGCUCUAACAUUAACUCUCAGCUCUUCCGCCAGUUCCCUCAGUAGCCCUCUGGGCUGCACUGGCCUUGGACACCUGCCAGCUUGAUUUUCUUCCUCCUCUCCCUCUCAGUGCACUGAAGUGCCCUAUAGACCAGGGUAUUUCUCAAAGUCUCCUAGAGCGCUCACCGCAACCCAAUACAGUAAAACUUGUUGGGUCCCCACCGUUGGGUCCUGAGAGCCCUCUUAUAUCAAUCCCCCUGCCUCAGUUCAUGAUACUGCCUUUAGGUCUGCUUCCUCCAAUAGAGGUAAGAUACAUGGGAAAAAAAGGCUCAAUGGACAGAAAAGAAGGAAGUUUAUGGAGAUGUCUUGAGAGAAAAUUCACAGUGAUUUGCAUAGCUGCCAACCAAAAUAUUACAACUUUUACAUGCUACAUUUAUGAAUAACAUCCCUUAUUUGUACAUGAUACACUCACAGAGGCCUUAGGCUUGAAACUACAAGCCCAAGAUUCAAGACAGAUGUUUCUGGGUCCUGAGUUGUGCCUCUCCUGAAACAAGGGAAGUCUGGCCCCAGAGAACCUAUCAAACUCUCUGGCCCUUGGGCCACAUGACCAGGCUGGAAAUACCCAUCAGAUUUUGAAGCCACAGGCAUGUCCCCACACUGAGGUGAGAAAAUUCUGGGCCAGAGAGUCAGAGGCACCCUGUAACCAAACCCUACAACUCUGGGCACAUCCUGAGUGUUCCACCAACUCAUCUUCAACCACAUCUCUAAGCUGGAGGUGUGUCCAGGAAGCUGCAGGUAUACGUUUCUGCUGCUCUGGCACCAUCUGGCGGCCAUCAGCUCUAACAUCAACUCUCAGCCCUUCAUUCUGUUUUCCCUCAGCUGUUCCCUGGGGCUGUUCUGGCUUUAGAUCUCUGCCAGCUUGAUGUUCUUUCUCUCAUCCUCUAAGCUUAAUGAAGUGCCCUACAGACUGGGCCGUUUCUCUUUCAAAGUCUCCCAGAGCACUCAUGCCAACCUACCCUAUCAAUACAUUAAAACCCUCUGCUUCC